GGUGGUGAAUCUGUGAAAUUCAUUGCCUUAGACAGCUGUGGAGGUCAAGUGACUGGGUGUAUUUAAAGCAGAGGUCAAUGGGUUCUUGAUUAGUCAGGGUGACAAAGGUUACAGUGAGAAGGCAGGAGAAUGGGGUUGAGAAGGAAAAUAAAUGGCAGAGCAGACUUGAUGGGCUGAACGGCAUAGUCCUGCUCCUUUGUCUUAUGCUGGUGGAAAUAUCAGUAACCCCUCCGGUGACCUGAACCCGUCUCUUUUCAGGGAGUUGGCGGAAAUCAACCGGAGACACAUCUCCAAAGUCGUCAGUCUGAUCAAACGGCUGGAGGACGCCCAGGGGAAGCGACAGGAACAGCUGGAACGGAGGGAGCGAGAGGUGCUGAAACAGAUCGACGAGGAGGGGCUGAAGGGACGGAAGCUUCUGGAAGACACUUGCAAGCAGGAGAUGGAGAGGCCGCUGCCGCUGGAGGGCGAGGGCCUGGAGUUCCCCAAGGGCCUCCCAAGCGCGGACUGCGCAGACUACGCGGCCCUCGGGGAGGGAGGGGGCGUCAGCUGCCCCCCCCAGUCCGGCGCCGCCUGGAUGGUGGGGAAUGCCGAACAGGACUUCAACACUGUCUUAUGAGGAGUUUUCCCUCACCUCAGCUCCGCCACUACCCCCCCAUUCACUGCCAGGACGAGGGGCAAACGGGGUGUGUGUCCCCCAGAGCACCAGGCAUUACGUAGCAGUUUCUGGGAGUCUCCCAGCGCGGCGGAGAGUGGGCAACCCCUGGGGAGUGUGCUUGUGGCGGAUUUGAGACGGGGGUUUAAUCCGUGUAUCCGACGGUACUAGUCAAGGUAAUCAGGUGGGGGUGGGUGGCUGUGUCUCUGUACGUUAACGGAGUGUCCACUGAUGGAUUGGGAAGGGCCGAUGGACACAAGAGAUUCUGCAGACGAUGGAAAUCUGGAGCAACGCUGGAGGAACUCAGCAGGUCGGGCAGCGUCUAUGGAGGGGAAUAAAUGGUCGACGUUUCGGGCCGAGGCCCUUUGUUGGGACUGGAAAGGGACGGGGGCAGAAGCCAGGG